GUGCUUUUGCUGUCAUCAGCCUGCCUCUAUUCUCCUGUAGACUUCUGCAGCAGCUGGCCCGCACGGUCACAAGAAGGAAGCUUUUAUCUAUAAGAAAAUGUACCAGCAGGAGACCAGCCAAGAUGAUGGAGUAGGAGGAAACUAUUAAACUCAGCUCUGGGCAACACUCUGCCCUUUUCCUGAACUACCUAUCUCAAUCCCCAGCUGAGCCCCUGCGUGUAGGUUCUACAUGGCUAACACUGAUCCCUAUCCCUUGAGAGGGAGAGAGGACCUUGAACUCGUCCUCUGUGGCAAAGAAAAGGACUGAAACAUGGUUACCUCGAUCCUGCUCAAGGGAGGAAGGAGGAUUCUUAAGACAUCACCUAGCCAGGGAGUAGGCUAUCGGUAUGGUCCCUCAAAUGUCAAUCCCUGCAUGAUUCAAAGGAUCAAAGACUCAUUCCCAGAUGAGAAUCAGGGACUCACAUUUUCUAGAAGAGAUUGAGACAACACUCAAAUAGCAGGACCUCAGCAAAGUCAUUUUGAUUAAUAAUAAUAAUAAUAA